GCAAGUCGAGCGGAAACGAUGGAAGCUUGCUUCCAGGCGUCGAGCGGCGGACGGGUGAGUAAUGCAUAGGAAUCUGCCCGGUAGUGGGGGAUAACCUGGGGAAACCCAGGCUAAUACCGCAUACGCCCUACGGGGGAAAGCAGGGGAUCUUCGGACCUUGCGCUAUCGGAUGAGCCUAUGUCGGAUUAGCUAGUUGGUGGGGUAAAGGCCUACCAAGGCGACGAUCCGUAGCUGGUCUGAGAGGAUGAUCAGCCACAUCGGGACUGAGACACGGCCCGAACUCCUACGGGAGGCAGCAGUGGGGAAUAUUGGACAAUGGGCGCAAGCCUGAUCCAGCCAUGCCGCGUGUGUGAAGAAGGCCCUCGGGUUGUAAAGCACUUUCAGUGAGGAAGAAGGCCUUCGGGUUAAUACCCUGGAGGAAGGACAUCACUCACAGAAGAAGCACCGGCUAACUCCGUGCCAGCAGCCGCGGUAAUACGGAGGGUGCGAGCGUUAAUCGGAAUUACUGGGCGUAAAGCGCGCGUAGGUGGCUUGAUAAGCCGGUUGUGAAAGCCCCGGGCUCAACCUGGGAACGGCAUCCGGAACUGUCAGGCUAGAGUGCAGGAGAGGAAGGUAGAAUUCCCGGUGUAGCGGUGAAAUGCGUAGAGAUCGGGAGGAAUACCAGUGGCGAAGGCGGCCUUCUGGACUGACACUGACACUGAGGUGCGAAAGCGUGGGUAGCAAACAGGAUUAGAUACCCUGGUAGUCCACGCCGUAAACGAUGUCGACUAGCCGUUGGGCUCCUUGAGAGCUUUGUGGCGCAGUUAACGCGAUAAGUCGACCGCCUGGGGGAGUACGGCCGCAAGGUUAAAACUCAAAUGAAUUGACGGGGGCCCGCACAGCGGUGGAGCAUGUGGUUUAAUUCGAUGCAACGCGAAGAACCUUACCUACCCUUGACAUCGAGAGAACUUUGGCAGAGAU
rnacentral:rRNA from 1 species